AGAGUUUGAUCCUGGCUCAGGACGAACGCUGGCGGCGUGCCUAAUACAUGCAAGUCGAGCGCAGGAAGUUAUCUGAUCCUCUUUUAGAGGUGACGAUAAUGGAAUGAGCGGCGGACGGGUGAGUAACACGUAGGCAACCUGCCUGUAAGACUGGGAUAACUCGUGGAAACGCGAGCUAAUACCGGAUAACACUUUUCAUCUCCUGAUGAGAAGUUGAAAGGCGGCUUUUGCUGUCACUUACAGAUGGGCCUGCGGCGCAUUAGCUAGUUGGUAAGGUAAUGGCUUACCAAGGCGACGAUGCGUAGCCGACCUGAGAGGGUGAUCGGCCACACUGGGACUGAGACACGGCCCAGACUCCUACGGGAGGCAGCAGUAGGGAAUCUUCCGCAAUGGACGAAAGUCUGACGGAGCAACGCCGCGUGAGUGAUGAAGGUUUUCGGAUCGUAAAACUCUGUUGUUAGGGAAGAACAAGUGCCAUAGUAACUGAUGGCACCUGAC
rnacentral:rRNA from 1 species